GUAGGUGGCAAGCGUUGUCCGGAAUUAUUGGGCGUAAAGCGCGCGCAGGCGGUCCUUUAAGUCUGAUGUGAAAGCCCACGGCUCAACCGUGGAGGGUCAUUGGAAACUGGGGGACUUGAGUACAGAAGAGGAAAGCAGAAUUCCAAGUGUAGCGGUGAAAUGCGUAGAGAUUUGGAGGAACACCAGUGGCGAAGGCGGCUUUCUGGUCUGUAACUGACGCUGAGGCGCGAAAGCGUGGGGAGCAAACAGGGAUUAGAUACCCUGGUAGUCCACGCCGUAAACGAUGAGUGCUAAGUGUUAGGGGGUUUCCGCCCCCUUAGUGCUGCAGCUAACGCAUUAAGCACUCCGCCUGGGGAUACGGCCGCAAGGCUG
rnacentral:rRNA from 1 species